GUAUUUACCUGGCGUAGAGAUAACCGUGAUCAACAAGGCGGUUUCUCCAGGACGAGGCCUAUCCAUUGCACUACGGAUGAGUUGACCCUUGCAAAUAUCCCUUAUGUGGAUAUCUUGGACGUUUUAUUUUUGGUAGCCAAUUGUAUUAUUAUACAAGU
rnacentral:snRNA from 1 species